AGAGUAUCCUUUCUUCAGAACAUUUAAAAGAUAUCUGUGGAUGUGAACUACCGAAGGAAUUUGUAAGAAUAAGAUGACAUUUUCUUAAAUUGAACAGAUGCAUGUAUGCACCUUAAUUUUAAGCAAUACACAUGUCUGUGGACUAUCCAUUAUUUUCAACACAAUAAUAAAAGAAGGACUUUUGCAAUAUCAUGUUACAAUCCAAAAUUAUGUUUUUACUGAUUACAGAGUUUGAUAAGGUAUCAGGUGAGGACAUUUUAUGUUUUGUGAGUGAUACUGGUAGAAAUCAUUCACAGUUACAGAG
rnacentral:lncRNA from 1 species